rnacentral:rRNA from 1 species
ACACGUCUACAUUAGAUACCCCUGUAGUCCCAGCCGUAAACUAUGCGCGUUAGGUGUAUCGGUGACCACGAGUUACCGAGGUGCCGAAGGGAAACCGUGAAACGUGCCGCCUGGGAAGUACGGUCGCAAGGCUGAAACUUAAAGGAAUUGGCGGGGGAGCACCACAACAGGUGGAGCCUGCGGUUUAAUUGGACUCAACGCCGGACAACUCACCGGGGACGACAGCAAUAUGUAGGCCAGGCUGAAGACCUUGCCUGAAUCGCUG